rnacentral:rRNA from 1 species
GACGAACGCUGGCGGCGUGCUUAACACAUGCAAGUCGAACGAAGUGGCGAACGGGUGAGUAAUACGUGGGUAACCUGCCCUCCUUUUUGGGAUAAGCCUUGGAAACGGGGUCUAAUACCGAAUAAAGGGGGAUGGGCUCGCGGCCUAUCAGCUUGUUGGUGGGGUGAUGGCCUACCAAGGCGGUGACGGGUAGCCGGCCUGAGAGGGGGACCGGCGUCGUUAGGAGUGAGAGACUGCCCUGACUGCUACGGGAGGUAGGUGGGGGGGAUUUUGGACACGGGAUGCAAGCCUUGUCCAGUUACGCCGCGUGGGGGAUGGACGCUGUCGGGUUAUGAUCCUCUGGCGCGAUCGAAAGGGUAGGUCGACAAGAAGCGCCGGCUAACUACGUGCCAGCAGCCGCGGUAAUAC